UACGGAGGGGGCUAGCGUUGUUCGGAAUCACUGGGCGUAAAGGGCGUGUAGGCGGUCCGCUAAGUCUGAUGUGAAAGCCCGAGGCUUACCCUCGGAAGUGCAUUGGAGACUGGCGGACUGGAGUCCCGGAGAGGAGGGUGGAAUUCCUGGUGUAGCGGUGAAAUGCGUAGAUAUCAGGAGGAACACCGGUGGCGAAGGCGGCCCUCUGGACGGUGACUGACGCUGAGACGCGAAAGCGUGGGGAGCAAACAGG
rnacentral:rRNA from 1 species